UACGGAGAGGGCUGGUGUUAUUCGCAUUGACUGGGUGUAAAGGGUGCGUAGGUGGUUUAUUAAGUUUCAAGGCAAAUGUUAAAUAUAAAGUUUAAAAGCCUUUUAAUACUAAUAGACUAGAGUUUAUUGGGAGAUAGCUGUACAUUAAGUGUAAAAGGUGAAAAUUUUUUUCGAUAUUUUAAAAGGACAUUUCGAUAGGCGAAGGCUGCUAUCUACUUUUAAUACU
rnacentral:rRNA from 1 species